GGUGAGUAACACGUGGAUAACCUACCUAUAAGACUGGGAUAACUUCGGGAAACCGGAGCUAAUACCGGAUAAUAUUUUGAACCGCAUGGUUCAAAAGUGAAAGACGGUCUUGCUGUCACUUAUAGGUGGAUUCGCGCUGCAUUAGCUAGUUGGUAAGGUAACGGCUUACCAAGGCAACGAUGCAUAGCCGACCUGAGAGGGUGAUCGGCCACACUGGAACUGAGACACGGUCCGG
rnacentral:rRNA from 1 species